GAUGAACGCUGGCGGCGUGCCUAAUACAUGCAAGUCGAACGAAGCUUUUUUAACUGGUGCUUGCACCGACUUAAACAACUGAGUGGCGAACGGGUGAGUAACACGUGGGUAACCUGCCCCAAAGCGGGGGAUAACAUUUGGAAACAGAUGCUAAUACCGCAUAACCACAGAAACCACAUGGUUUCUGUGUCAAAGAUGGUUUCGGCUAUCACUUUGGGAUGGACCCGCGGCGUAUUAGCUAGUUGGUAAGGUAAUGGCUUACCAAGGCAAUGAUACGUGGCCGAACUGAGAGGUUGAUCGGCCACAUUGGGACUGAGACACGGCCCAAACUCCUACGGGAGGCAGCAGUAGGGAAUCUUCCACAAUGGACGAAAGUCUGGUGGAGCAACGCCGCGUGAGUGAAGAAGGUUUUCGGAUCGUAAAACUCUGUUGUCAGAGAAGAACGUGUGCGAGAGUAACUGUUCGUGCAGUGACGGUAUCUGGCCAGAAAGCCACGGCUAACUACGUGCCAGCCGCCGCGGUAA
rnacentral:rRNA from 1 species